rnacentral:rRNA from 1 species
GUGCCAGCAGCCGCGGUAAUACGAGAGGUCCAAACGUUAUUCGGAAUUACUGGGCUUACAGAGUUCGUAGGCGGCUCUACAAGUGAGGUGUGAAAGCCCUCGGCUCAACCGAGGAACUGCGCUUCAAACUGUAGAACUAGAGGGAGAUAGAGGUGAGCAGAACUGAUGGUGGAGCGGUGAAAUGCGUUGAUAUCAUCAGGAAUACCGGAGGCGAAGGCGGCUCACUGGGUCUCUUCUGACGCUGAGGAACGAAAGCUAGGGGAGCAAACGGGAUUAGAUACCCCGGUAGUCC